GCCUCCGGGUCCGCGCCGCCGGCCGCGUCCUCCGCCCCGGAGCCGGCGCAAGUGACGCGCAGUUCUCGCCGGGCACGCGGCCAAGGGAGCGUCUGAAAAGGUCCCAGGUGAGGGUGAGGGACUCUCUCCUGAGACCUUGAAUCUUGAAGGACCGAGGGCACAGUGCCUGGAAGGAGACCAGCGUGUCCCUGGAGUACAGUGUUGGCUGUGGAUUGGCUGCCCAGCCUCGGAAGCCCUCUGUUUUCCACGCCUGGACAUCCAGUCUCCACCGGGAUGCCGUGAGUCCCCGGUAUCCUUCCAAGAAAUGUCCGACUAUAGGCAGUGGCACUCUGCUUCUGGGGCUGGCCAUCACGGACCCGGACGAUGGGUCACGUAAGCAUUCAUGACCACUCUUAUUACGAGAACUCAGGUGUGUGGACGCUGUUUGUAGAAAGAAGCACACAGCAAAAUCCCAAAUCAGACUCUUGGAAACUCAGAAAUGAGGUAGUUCAUCUAGGAGGUGUUGGGGAGUUGGCUGGGAUGGGGUUCCUCUACAGACUCCGUUAGACAUGGCUGCUGCUUUCCAGACCUUUCUGGGCAGGGCUGUGGCUCCAAGUCUCCUUCUCACCCAUCAUCACCUCCCUUCCUGGCCCAGUAGCUCCCGAUGCCCCUUUCUGCUUUCUUUCUUUCUGCCCCCUCCAGAGUCUUUCCUGUCUAGAUCAGCAUAGUCUCUGGCCUUCUCCAGAUCACAAAACAGUUCUGUUAUCAGGAGAAGCAAACAGGAUCCCAAGAAAGUGGGGAUGGGGAGGAGCCGCCAGCACAGCUGCAGGGACCUGCCCCCCACAGCCGCCUGCUUGACCAUGUGAUGCAGACUUUCUGCCUCAGCUCAAACUCCCGUCCACAGGCCUUUGUGAUGAGUAUAAUGGCCUCGUUAUUUCCCUAACAUGCGUCAUUCACUUUAAAUCCAGGAUGCUGCUGACCAACGGCGCCGGGAGGACUCAAACCCGGGUGACUCACCCAGACCAGUGGAUGGCUGAGUUCAUAUUGCUUGGAUCUGUUUGAGCUCCUAAUGGCUCAUAUAAUGGUGAUUAUAGCUAGCUUUGAUUUUGAUAAUUAUAUCAAACGAUAAUUAUAGCUGGCUUUAAUUUAAUACAGUGCUGAAGACACAGGACACCCACCCAUUUGGUCCUCAUCACCACCCCAGGAGGUCGGCGCCGUUCUCUCUCCGUGGAUGGGGAAACUGAGGCCCAGACAGGUUAGGCGAUUUGCUCAGCAUCCUCCAGGGAGUAGCACAGCUGGGUUCUGGCCCCCGAGCCGGGAUGUGUUCACUCAGUGCAAGAUUUGGGGUGUGGGCUCCACGUGUGUCUCGCAUAGAGGACAGACAGGGCAGGCGGCUGCAGUGUUCCACCCUGAAGGACAGUUGAUGUUCGAAGGUUUCCACCCAACCCCCACUUCCCUUAUUUCACCCCAGCGGAGCCCGGUGUUGACAGGUGUCUCCCUCUGGGAAGGGGCCCGGAGCUAAUUCAGGAGGAAGCCCAGUGUCUUCCUCCUCUGCCUUGGCAGCACUACCUGCUCUCAUUAGACCCUCCCCUGCAGUUCGAAUCUUGAGAGACAAAACACUGAAAACAGUUACAGGGCUGAGUGUGCUGGGCCCACGUCUCAGCUCCCCACUUCCUCGCCGGCGGCUCUGAGCAGGUGUGCAGCCUCCUGGAGGCGCAUGGGAUGCUGAGACCUGUACUCGGGUCCUUCUCCAACGCGGCAGGAAGUGCAGGUCUCGGACAGAAGCCUGCAGGGUGAGCAGCCGCCGCCGAGAGCGCAGCACAGGCCCCUGUGGACUGCCCUCCGUUGGGCCAUCCCGGGGUGCCCUGUUCCCACCCUCCCUCAGCCCAGCCCCUGCCUCAGAGUGCCUUCAGGAAGGCCCUUCCAGCUCUGCUCUUGGUGAGCCCCUGCCUGCGGCCUCACCACUCCGUUUCCCAAGAGCCCUUGCUCUUUAUUCCUGUCACGUGAUUUCCUCUGCUUGACCCUGUGCUGCCUGUACGGCCUGCAGGCUGUCCACUGCACGUGGGCUCCUGGUGCCCCAGGAAGUUGGGAGCUGAAACUCAGCCCGUGUUCCGUUCAAGAAGCUGCGAGUCCUGGUGCAGAGGUGGAUGUGUAUUCUUUUCUAACCCACGCCUCUGAGGGCAGCAGUCGCUCUGUUCAACUGUCCUCUCCUCUAUCAGAGAACUCCUCCUCAUCCUCUACUCCCAGCUUUACUAUCACCUCCUCCGGGAAGCCUGCCCGGACUCUUCCCAAAUGCAAUCAUUGCAGCCCGGUCCUACGCUUCUGUGCGCUGCAUCCC